rnacentral:other from 1 species
GAUUUUCUGGGGUGCGCGGGGUGGUUCUUAUCCCUUGACCAACAUUUUCACAGACCUGUCGAUGCGUGAAAAAGUGGUGAGCAUGCCUGCCCAUGAGCAGGACGCCUAAUGUUUUUUCCGUAGACAAACUUUUCAUUCAGGUCAUCCGUAUAGAACCAUACCGGCAUCCUGGAGAACAU